rnacentral:rRNA from 1 species
CCUACGGGUGGCUGCAGUGAGGAAUAUUGGUCAAUGGUCGGGAGACUGAACCAGCCAAGCCGCGUGAGGGAUGAAGGUACAGAGUAUCGUAAACCUCUUUUGUCAGGGAACAAAGGCGGGGACGUGUCCCCGGAUGAGUGUACCUGAAGAAAAAGCAUCGGCUAACUCCGUGCCAGCAGCCGCGGUAAUACGGAGGAUGCGAGCGUUAUCCGGAUUUAUUGGGUUUAAAGGGUGCGCAGGCGGGUUGUUAAGUCAGCCGUGAAAGCCCCGGGCUCAACCCCGGCACGGCCUUUGAUACUGGCAGUCUCGAGUUGGGGAGAAGUAGGCGGAAUGCGCGGUGUAGCGGUGAAAUGCUUAGAUAUCGCGCAGAACUCCGAUUGCGAAGGCAGCAUGCCGGCUCCACACUGACGCUGAGGCACGAAAGCGUGGGUAUCGAACAGGAUUAGAUACCCGAGUAGUC